rnacentral:rRNA from 1 species
UAGUCCUAGCUGUAAACGAUGGCCACUAAGUAGGGGAACUCCAAAGGUUUCCCUGCCGUAGCUAAUGUAUUAAGUGGCCCGCCUGGGGAGUAUGGUCGCAAGGCUGAAACUCAAAGGAAUUGACGGGGGCUCACACAAGCGGUGGAGCAUGUUGUUUAAUUCGAUGCAACGCGAAGAACCUUACCUGGGCUUGACAUGUAUGUGGUAUCAAACCGAAAGGGGCGAGACCUACUUUGUAGGAGCAUACACAGGUAUUGCACGGCUGUCGUCAGCUCGUGCCGUGAGGUGUUCGGUUAAGUCCGCGAACGAGCGCAACCCUCAUCGUUAGUUACAAGUGUCUAGCGAGACUGCCCGUGACAAGCGGGAGGAAGGUGGGGAUGAUGUCAAGUCAGCAUGGCCUUUAUAUCCUGGGCUACACACACGCUACAAUGGUUAGUACAAUGGGUUGCCAAACCGCAAGGUGGAGCCAAUCCCCCAAAGCUAAUCUCAGUUCGGAUUGUAGG